GUCAGUGCUCUGAGGAGCUGUCCAUGAGAAACACUGAGAAGGGAAUUGUCCUCAUAAUAAUUUUUUCCCAAGAAGUUAUGUCGGCUUCACACCUGGUAACAAAUACUUACUGAUGUCUUUGAGAAGAGAUAGACAAAUUCAGGUGCACAAGAGGGACAUCUGAUGUCAUUUGAUAUGACCUAGACAUGAGACCUGUCUCCACCAGCCAGAAGAACAGGGGGCUCUCACAGGUGUCAUAAUGUACUACAGCCCUGUGUGGAUGGCCUGAGCAGCA